rnacentral:rRNA from 1 species
UACGGAGGGGGCAAGCGUUGUUCGGAAUUACUGGGCGUAAAGGGCGCGUAGGCGGAAUGUCAAGUUAGGGGUGAAAGGCCUGGGCUCAACCUAGGAACUGCCUCUAAAACUGAUGAUCUAGAGUUCGGAAGAGGAUGGUGGAAUUCCCAGUGUAGAGGUGAAAUUCGUAGAUAUUGGGAAGAACACCGGUGGCGAAGGCGACCAUCUGGUCCGACACUGACGCUGAGGCGCGAAAGCGUGGGGAGCAAACAGG